rnacentral:rRNA from 1 species
UUCGCCUUCAUGAAGCCGGAAUUGCUAGUAAUGGCAGGUCAGCAUACUGCCGUGAAUACGUUCCCGGGCCUUGUACACACCGCCCGUCACACCAUGAGAGUUGGGAAUACCCGAAGCCUGUGAGCUAACUUAUAGAGGCAGCAGUCGAAGGUAGAAUCAAUGAUUGGGGUGAAGUCGUAACAAGGUAUC